GACGAACGCUGGCGGCGUGCUUAACACAUGCAAGUCGAACGAAGUGGCGAACGGGUGAGUAACGCGUAAUCAACCUGCCCUUCAGAGGGGGACCACAGUUGGAAACGACUGCUAAUACCGCAUACUGAAGGACGGGAUUGCGGCUGAUUAGCUAGGGGGAGGGGUAACGGCCCACAAAGGCAAGGAUCAGUAGCCGGUCGGUGAUGAGGAACGGCCACAUGGGGACUGAGACACGGGCCAGACUCCUACGGGAGGCAGCAGUGGGGAAUCUUCCGGAAUGGACGAAAGUCUGACGAAGCAACGCCGCGUGAGUGAUGACGGCCUUCGGGUUGUAAAGCUCUGUUAAUCGGGACGCGGUACCGGAAUAGAAAGCCACGGCUAACUACGUGCCAGCAGCCGCGGUAAUUC
rnacentral:rRNA from 1 species